rfam:Asian citrus Psyllid, Diaphorina citri - Florida Strain, whole genome shotgun sequence.
GCUCCCAUGGCGUAGUGGUCACUGCACUCGCCUUGCACGCGGGAGACCCGGGUUCGAUUCCCGGCGGGGUCA